ensembl:lncRNA
UCUUGCAGCUUUAGUAAUUAGUUUAUUGUUGUUGACAGAUACAUGUUACAGUGAGACAAAACGAUGACCGCAUAUGCAUCGAAAGCGAAGCCUUCCGAGUUGGUAGUUUGUAUCGGUAUCCUUUUUGUGCAAUACAGUACAGAAUACAUCCUGAAACUUGUGUUGGGGAGGAUUCAAUGUCUGUUGAGGCCCAUGUGAAUGUGCUACAAAGUGAGUUUCGGAAAACACAUCCAGACAUAUCGACUGUCCAAGUCAAGACCACAUGGCAUGAACAUUCUCCUGGAGAUGUUGAGAAAGCAUGGAAGGAAUGUCUGUGGAGGAUGUACUCAAAAAAUACCCAUACUUAAAGACACCUGCUGGAGGGGACCCUGCUACACCCUUUCCAACCAUACAACUGAUGGAUACUGACUGGAAAAUGGCAGGGUUCAGUGUGGUGAAAGUAGAUGGAAUAGACGUGUGCCAGUGCACCAGCCUUGAUGAAGCCUUCAUAACAGCCUUCUGUAUGUAUUUUGCUUUCAACAUUGCAUAUCCACCACACCUGAAAAAGACACUGACUUUCCUUCAGAGGCACAUUGUCAAAAUUGUGGAAGAGGGAGACAAGCCACUGCAAGUAAAUUUACUCCGGAUGAUUAGCCUUCUGUAUUAGAUCCUCAUGCCUCAACUGUACCAUUGCCCAAAGUGCACUCAAAGGACAUUCACUCUUUUGAAGUUAAUCCAACAUGUUGGAAUUGUACAUGCACAUGAAC